rnacentral:misc_RNA from 1 species
ACUCAUUGGCAAAGGUCCAGAUAUGAUUCCAGGGCAUCCUGUUUCAAUUGAAGAAUUUCUUACAUGGCGUACGUUGCGUAGAAAAGAAUGACGAAAAUGACUUUUCCAGUUGCGACUGACAUCAAGGUGCAAUCUAUCAGUAGCCCGUGGGAGAUGUGAAUCACCGCAUGGAAGAUGAACAGGAGCUACACUGGGCCACUCAUACGAAACAUAAGAUGGAGAAUUCAUCGGCCCUGUAUCAUAAACAUCAACACUUCCUUUCUCCUGUAACGAGGUCAAAUUUGUGUUGGCAUCACCAACUUCAAUUUUCUGCUCAAGAAAACCUGCUCUGUUCAAUUUUUUGAACUCCUUGCCGUUUGAAAGAGUGCGUCCAGAUUCAAUCGCAGGCAUUACAGAAGAUAUAGCAGAAUCGCCUUCCCUAUUGGUAGUUUCCACUGCAACAGCUACCGUUCCAUUUUCCAUCACUCCCUCUUUGGGCAAAUGGUCUGUCAAACAAGGAUUCCUGUAACCUUCAAAAGAACCAGCAGAACCAGAAUCCCUACUGCUUCGACUCAGAAUGCUCAUUUCUGGUUCACGUUUCUCAUUGUCAAUACAAGAAUCUUUUGAUCCGCUUUG